AUUGAACGCUGGCGGCAGGCCUAACACAUGCAAGUCGAACGGUAACAGGAAGAGGCUUGCUUCUUUGCUGACGAGUGGCGGACGGGUGAGUAAUGUCUGGGAAACUGCCUGAUGGAGGGGGAUAACUACUGGAAACGGUAGCUAAUACCGCAUAACGUCGCAAGACCAAAGAGGGGGACCUUCGGGCCUCUUGCCAUCGGAUGUGCCCAGAUGGGAUUAGCUAGUAGGUGGGGUAACGGCUCACCUAGGCGACGAUCCCUAGCUGGUCUGAGAGGAUGACCAGCCACACUGGAACUGAGACACGGUCCAGACUCCUACGGGAGGCAGCAGUGGGGAAUAUUGCACAAUGGGCGCAAGCCUGAUGCAGCCAUGCCGCGUGUAUGAAGAAGGCCUUCGGGUUGUAAAGUACUUUCAGCGGGGAGGAAGGGAGUAAAGUUAAUACCUUGGCUCAUUGACGUUACCCGCAGAAGAAGCACCGGCUAACUCCGUG
rnacentral:rRNA from 1 species